GAUUAAGUUAUUAAGGGCGCACGGUGGAUGCCUUGGCACUAGAAGCCGAUGAAGGACGUUACUAACGACGAUAUGCUUUGGGGAGCUGUAAGUAAGCUUUGAUCCAGAGAUUUCCGAAUGGGGAAACCCAGCAUGAGUUAUGUCAUGUUAUCGAUAUGUGAAUACAUAGCAUAUCAGAAGGCACACCCGGAGAACUGAAACAUCUUAGUACCCGGAGGAAGAGAAAGAAAAUUCGAUUCCCUUAGUAGCGGCGAGCGAAAUGGGAAGAGCCCAAACCAACAAGCUUGCUUGUUGGGGUUGUAGGACACUCUAUACGGAGUUACAAAGGACGACAUUAGACGAAUCAUCUGGAAAGAUGAAUCAAAGAAGGUAAUAAUCCUGUAGUCGAAAAUGUUGUCUCUCUUGAGUGGAUCCUGAGUACGACGGAGCACGUGAAAUUCCGUCGGAAUCUGGGAGGACCAUCUCCUAAGGCUAAAUACUCUCUAGUGACCGAUAGUGAACCAGUACCGUGAGGGAAAGGUGAAAAGCACCCCGGAAGGGGAGUGAAAUAGAACCUGAAACCGUGUGCUUACAAGUAGUCAGAGCCCGUUAAUGGGUGAUGGCGUGCCUUUUGUAGAAUGAACCGGCGAGUUACGAUUUGAUGCAAGGUUAAGCAGUAAAUGUGGAGCCGUAGCGAAAGCGAGUCUGAAUAGGGCGUUUAGUAUUUGGUCGUAGACCCGAAACCAGGUGAUCUACCCUUGGUCAGGUUGAAGUUCAGGUAACACUGAAUGGAGGACCGAACCGACUUACGUUGAAAAGUGAGCGGAUGAACUGAGGGUAGCGGAGAAAUUCCAAUCGAACCUGGAGAUAGCUGGUUCUCUCCAAAAUAGCUUUAGGGCUAGCCUCAAGUGAUGAUUAUUGGAGGUAGAGCACUGUUUGGACGAGGGGCCCCUCUCGGGUUACCGAAUUCAGACAAACUCCGAAUGCCAAUUAAUUUAACUUGGGAGUCAGAACAUGGGUGAUAAGGUCCGUGUUCGAAAGGGAAACAGCCCAGACCACCAGCUAAGGUCCCAAAAUAUAUGUUAAGUGGAAAAGGAUGUGGCGUUGCCCAGACAACUAGGAUGUUGGCUUAGAAGCAGCCAUCAUUUAAAGAGUGCGUAAUAGCUCACUAGUCGAGUGACACUGCGCCGAAAAUGUACCGGGGCUAAACAUAUUACCGAAGCUGUGGAUUGUCCUUUGGACAAUGGUAGGAGAGCGUUCUAAGGGCGUUGAAGCAUGAUCGUAAGGACAUGUGGAGCGCUUAGAAGUGAGAAUGCCGGUGUGAGUAGCGAAAGACGGGUGAGAAUCCCGUCCACCGAUUGACUAAGGUUUCCAGAGGAAGGCUCGUCCGCUCUGGGUUAGUCGGGUCCUAAGCUGAGGCCGACAGGCGUAGGCGAUGGAU
rnacentral:rRNA from 1 species